rnacentral:lncRNA from 1 species
UGCGGAUGUGUUUCCUGUUCGAGGAUCCAGCGCGAGCGGGGGUUCUGAAAAUCGGUCGUUGAAAACGGGAGAGAAUAGGAAAAAGACGAAAUAAUUGGAAAUUAUCGGGGUCAUGGACACGUGAGCACCCGGUUAUAAUUUCACUCGUGGCGGACCGGUGUGCACGGUGCUGAGCCCUGGAGUGGAGACCGGGUCUCGGAUAGUGCAGUGACUCCCGUGGGCCUUACGGCAACAUCCGGGCUACGCCCCGCCUGAGCCGCAUGGUAAUGGCCCCUAACCCAAGGAAGCAUGAAUAGUAAUCAAUAGUAAAAAAUACACCUGACGAAACGAAACGAACCGAACCGCUCCAUCGAUGAAAACAAUCCGACCGCAUCGUUAAAGUUGGAAAAUAAUGCAGUUCGUCGGUCGAAUACAAUUGAGCACAAGUUCACGCAGCGAAAUAUUUGUUUCUAAAGUUAGGACGCGGAGGUUAGAUAGUUUUUCUCGCAUCGUUUUAAAGAACUAAAUACUAUGAUUACUCGGAAUACGUCUCUACGGUUUUUUAACGGUACGAAGUGCUAACCCUCAGCAGUCAUCCGGUGUUCAAAAUUGGAUUUUCAUCCCUUAUUGCCUCGAAGACGGAGGAUAUUGUUCAGAGCAGCCAUGAUGUUACGGUGAUGUCUGGAGAAGGGCAAUCGGGCAUGCGUUUGGACGAACGUGCCGCUGGGGUCAUCUCCGGCACGGACCCAUAUCGCGAGCUCGAACAAUACUUGGAAAAAGUUCAAGAGGAGAUCGGAGAGGCGUUCGAGAAAUGGCCGGAGCGAAAGUGGCACAAGAAGCGUACGAACGAGGGCUGGAAAGAGAACCUUCGUAAUGGACUGAUCACGUUGGCCCCUCUGCCACCGGUCGCGACGCCCCCGCUGUCCCAUCCCUUGCCGCCCCCGUCUGAGUCUCCCCCCGGCGGGCGCCUAACCCGCCACCGCCCCCACCGACCCGGGCCCCUCGAAGAACGCCGCUCCCGCAACUACGUGCUCAACCCCAAGAGCAACUCCCUCCCCUCCCGCAAGAAGCGACCUCCAGGCAACUACAUCAUCGACUUCGACCAAGAGGUGGAAGCGUGGUCGAACCUCCUUCUGGCGGACGUGCAGAGCAUUGUGGAGAAUGAGCUGAGGUCGGCGAUUUCGGCCGAGCGAGCGUCGAGCGAGUCCGAGCCGGACUAUGACGAGGUGUGCGUGACGUCCGACGAAGAGGUCGCCGUGGAGAUGCGCUACAAGUCGGAGCGGGCCUCGCCCUCACCCUCGGGCUCUCCCUCGCCGUCGGGGUCGCCCUCGCCCUCCAUGUCGCCCACGGUGUCGCCCUCCACCUCGGACAUCUCGACGAGCAGCUCCGGGAGCGGCGCCGGCGGGCGGAAGCAGGGGCGCCUCGUCCGCAACUGCCGCCCCCAGCUCCCGACCUGCCACAAGGACGACCCCGUCCUCACCAAGAUCACCACCCUCACCCACAGCCAAAGAACCAAGCCCAAGACCUCCCACACCGCCCGCGCCACCACCUACGCCGACCGCUCCAGAACGUUACCGCGCUCGUUGCCGAGUUUCCUGAGCAGCGGCGGGGUGGUAUCGGGGACGGGGACUGGCGGGGGGCGGGUGGUGGGCGACGCGGAGACGCAGACCUCGCCGACGGUGUCGCGGUCCUCGAGCUCGACGUGGCUCUCGGAGGACUGCUCGGAGCUCUCCUCGGCCUCGGCCUCCGCCGACGACUACUCCACCCUCAACUCCACCAACGCCGACCCCGAGGAACACGAGGAGUCCGGCAUCGGCACCGCCUCACCCACCCCGCACCCCCACACCCACUCACAUCUCCAGCCCCACCACCACCACCACCACCGCACCGCAUCAAGAACAAGUCACCCGUCGGGCAAAAAUGCCGUCGAAAAGAAACCUGGGAGCGUCUCCGGCGACGGGGCUCGGGGUUGA